GCCGUGAGAGGCGGGGCCAUCAGGUGUCAUGGCGGCGCUGUACAUUGCCGGCUGCUUCCUGCUCGUUCUCCUCCCGGCUGUGCCGGCCAAGAAGGGGGACGUGAUCGAGAUCACCGACCACAGCUGGAGGGACGUCCUGCAGGGGGAGUGGAUGGUCAAAUUUUACGCCCCGUGGUGCCCCGCGUGUCAGAAGCUGCAGCCAGAAUGGGAGGAGUUUGCAGACUGGGGAGAUGAUCUCAAUGUGAACAUCGCUAAAGUGGACGUCACGGCGCAGCCAGGUCUGAGCGGCCGUUUUAUCAUCACCGCCCUGCCGACCAUAUAUCACUGUAAAGAUGGCGUUUUCCGGAAGUAUCAGGGAUCCAGGACGCACAAGGACUUCAUCAGCUUCAUCAACGAGAAGGAAUGGGAGUCGAUAGAAGCCGUGUCCUCUUGGUUCAGCCCCGAUUCCCUGUUGAUGAGCGGCAUGUCUACCCUGUUCCAGCUGUCGGUGUGGAUUCGGAACUGUCACAACUACUUUGUGGAAGACCUCGGUCUUCCCGUCUGGGGGUCUUACGUCGUAUUUGGAUUGAUGACCCUUUUUCUUGGCCUGUUCCUGGGGCUGGUUCUGGUGUUCAUUGCAGAUUAUCUGUGUCCAACCAAGAGACAACGACCUCAAGGCUUCGCCUACCCCAGUGAAAAAACUUACGCCUGAAGCUGAAAAACUACUGAAAGAACUGGAGGAGGAAGAGGAGAUUAGGGAAGAGACAGGUGACCACGGCACAAAGGAAAAUCUACGGAAGCGAAUCGGAAAAUCCUAAUUUGUAGCGUCGUUUGUAACAGUCGGAGAAGGACAAGUCCCUGAAGCUGGCAGUAGAACAGCAGCGCGUUUCAUUCCUGUAGGAGACGCUCGCUCCGGUUGUCGGCUCCUGACCUUGUCCUAACCAACCCCCCGCGGACAGUCUUCACUCCCGUCUUCCUGAUCAGACUGCACCGAUGGACCGACACCUGAUGGCUGCUCUCCUGUGUGUUAUAUCCGUCACCGUAGCCAUAUACAACCCCCGGGGACUACUGUACACAGUAUAUUGAGCCCUGCAGUAGGCCUCCAUAGACAUUAACCCUUUAUGCCUGGUUUGUGGUCCACCUAAUGGGAGUUGUAGUUUCACCGGUAUGCAGGGGAGUAGCUUGGAUGGCUUCACCCUCCAUUAUAUCUAAUCCCAUAGGAGCUCUACCGCCUGUCAUCUCUUCCUUGGUGCAGCGAGAGAACUCCAAGGUGUCGGGGGUCCUGACUGCGGUCUGUGCAGCCCCCCUACGCUACUGCUUUCUUUGCCAUGUACGUUUUGAAUACAGGUGUUUUUUUAGGUUUUCCGUUAACUGUAUGUCAGUGUUAUAUGAACGUAAAGAGACGUCCAGGGGUAUUCCCAGCUGGUAUUCCCAUUAAUGCUCAAUACUCCACCGCUGGCACCAGCUCCUUUCUCACAAACAAGGCCCUGAAGUGAAUGAAGAGGAAGCUGCGCAUGCGCCACAUCCUUCAUUUACCGCUGUGCACAGUCUUGCUGAUUUUCAGAAGUCCCAGAGCAUUGAAUAGAGAGGACACGGCGCAUGAUGAGUGGUGUGGUCAUUGUUAAUGGUGGACCUUUCGGACACGUAUUGCAUAUCCUGCCAAUGUGAAUGUCUAGCUGGGACAACAUCGUUAAGGGCACGUGGUCAAUGCAUGGCUUCUUUCUCCGCUGGUUGGCCAGGAAGGAUCUCCUGACAGACGGGACCUGGCCAAUCAGCCGAGAGCGGAGCCCUACUUUAUCUACAGCAUAUAUUGUGGGCAAUGGGAUUAGAAGGGAUUUCCAACAACCUGCGAACCACUUUGAAGCCUCCGGAAGAUGGAAAACGUAUGUGUGACGCUCCACGCCAGCCCCCGCCACUCUAGUGUUACUGCUUGGUGCCAUGAUGCGUCUUGCACGAUGAUGUCGUGGGGGGAAGGGCAUGGAGAAGAGUUUCAGAUUGUGUUUUGGGGGGUGGUUGGCACACCUAUAGUUAAUGAUGGGGAACUCUACAGGGGACAUGGACCUCCCUGUCAUACGGCUCACCCUCUUAGUGUUGUGUAGAUGACGUAGUUUGGUUCGUCUGUUACGAUUAUUUGAGUCCGUUCCUCUUAUUUUCCCUAAAGGGAUCUUCUGGUUUUGUGAGAUCGGAGGGGGUCUCGCUCUCGGCCCCCCCAUGCUGCUGAUCAGCUGUUUGAAUGGAUUGCGUCGCUGGUGCGAGCGCUGCGUCCUCUUCAGUGUUCACCUGCAUGCCGUCCAGUGGCGUAACUAGAAAUGACUGGGCCCCACAGCAAAUUUUGAAGGCUUCCUUCACUCCUGUGGCUAGUCAGGCCCGGCAGCCCCUCCAUGCGUUUCCUACAGUGUCCCUGUAUAAUGCUGUGGAGGGUCCUCCUCUGGUAUGUGUCCCUUCC